rnacentral:lncRNA from 1 species
AAUAUUUUACAGAACAAAUUUGUAUCAAAUUUUGAAGAUUAUUUGUAUUAAUCAAAACAUAUGAAAUAUCCGUAAAUAUUCGUAAAUAUCCGCAAAUAUCUAUUUAUUUUCCGGAUAUCCGUUUUUCGAAUAUCUGUAUUUUUCCGAAGCAAAGCAAAUCGAAAAAUUAAAUAUCCAUGACAUACGAAACAAAUCACAAAUACUUUAAAAAAUGCGGAUAUCCGAUCCGUGCCCAUGCCUAAUUACAACUCAUCUAGGGUUUUACUUUUAUGUAGUCUUUUUAAUCAAUCUCUCUCUUUCUCUCUCUC